rnacentral:rRNA from 1 species
AUGAGCAACGCCACGGUCGACGAGAAGGUGCUCGGGGAGUGCCUCAACGAGAUGCCCCGCGCACUCCUGCAGUCCUACGUCUGGGGCCAAGCCUCGCAGAACACCGGGUCGGGAUUGUCAACUUCUUUGGGCAGUCUAUUUGAUUCUGAUGUUGAAGAAAACAGUGCCCCUUCAGUGCCCACCAUAGAAGCUGGCCGAGAUACGGAGGAGCUAGAUUCUUUCUCAAAAAAGAGGUCCUAUUUACUGAGCAAAAUGAACUUCUCGAAGCAAGAAGUCGAUUUGGCAGUCAAUGAGUUAGGUGAGUGUGCAUCAAUUGAUCAGCUUGUGGACUGGAUUGUGACCGCUCAAGAAGCUACAACUGAGAAGGAAGCCACUGAGAUAAACAAGAGGUCAUUGAAGUAUGCGUGGGUGCUCGACCAGUUGAAGGCUAACCGUGAGAGGGGUAUCAACAUUGAUAUUGCCCUGCAGAAGUUUGAGACCACCAAGUAG